ensembl:lncRNA
UUAUUUGUAGCAACGUUUUAUUGUGGCUAAAGCUACCGAAACAUACCCACUCUCUCUCACAUACACACACACACACACACACACACACACACACACUACAGAGUACACAGUCAAGUACAACACUAAGUGCUUACAUUCAGAACAGUGUUGAUAAAGGACAUGAAAAUGGUACGUUCUUUAAAAGUAUAAAAUACACAACUUGUCGAAGUAAAAGUGCAACAGAAUAGAAUAUAAAACAUACAACAUUGAAUGUAGACGUUUUUUAGAUUGUUUUAAGACUCUACUGAAUCUCCAUGGUUACUCUGAGACCAAGUUCUAGGUGGAACCUUAAAGGGGCAGUCUGGGAUUUAAAAAGCAACUAACAGGUCAUCCCAUCACUUGUUGUGGUUAACAGCUGAGGGAUGGGCCUGGAUAGAUUGAACCACUCUCAACAUCACAGAUGGAUCUCUGGAUGCAAGGACUGACCAUCCAUGAGAUCAACAGGAUACUUUUAACCAUGUUUUAAACCUUUACAUCGUGGACAAACAAUGGAGUGAAAACAAGCUUAUAGUUGGGGUACUGAUGGGGAACGACUGUUGACCUGGUCACAAGGCAGUUUUAAGUUAUAUUCUACAAGAACCAAGAGCAAUAAAUCAAUCAUUUAAAAGUAAAAAAAACUGGAUGUACCAAUCCUGGAUAGCCCUUUAAGUUAGGUUUUGGGAUGGGUAAGCUGAUCCUAGAUCUGUGCCUAAGGACAACCUCUACUGAACUGUACAUACAUUUACUGUAUUCUGAUCCUAGAUCUGUGCCUAAGGACCUCUACAAUGGCAGAACUGUACAGUAAUUUACUGUAUUCUGAUCCUAGAUCUGUGCCUAAGGACCUCUACAAUGGCAGAACUGUAAAUACAUUUACUGUAUUCUGAUCCUAGAUCUGUGCCUAAGGACCUCUACAAUGGCAGAACUGUACAGUAAUUUACUGUAUUCUGAUCCUAGAUCUGUG